GCACUCUUAGCUCAAUAGGAAAGAGCAACAGUCUUCUAAACUGCAGGUUACAGGUUCAAGUCCCGUAGUGUGCA
rnacentral:tRNA from 1 species